ensembl:lncRNA
UCUGGAGAUUCCUGCUUCUCUGAGGAUCUUAUAGGCCUUCUACAGAUUUUUCUUUCUGAAAUUCGUGUCACAAAACAAUAACAUACACAAGCCUAACCCCUGCCAAAACAUUUUUGGUCUCGUGUAAAGAUGAUGAAGUGCAUGGAAGAUCUUCUUUAACUUCAACAUCCAAUUAGGGUUGUACUACUGCAUCACAUACAAGAGAAUAUCUGGUAUUGAGGAUGAGGAAGAGUGAGAUAAAUAAACCAAGAUACCGAAGACUUCAAAUUAUUAACUUGCUUUGGUGGAUUUGGACUACCUAGAUGAGAAUAAGUGACUGUCUUGCUGCAGGUCAAAAUUGCCAUAAUGAAACCCUUUUAAACAUAAUACUCUGUCAUAACUUUCUUUUCUAUUCUAUUUGUGUGUUGGACUAAAUAGACUUUUUUUUUAUGUUAUUGCUUGGAAGAAUACAGAACUGUUGCCCUCCUCACUGACACCAGUCUUUUGCUAUCAUAGACAGCUAAGGCUUUCUGUUCAGAUCUCUAAAACACUGUUGAGCCUUCUGCAUGUGCUGUUUUUGAGAGGCCACAAUAGGGUUCAGUAUCAUGAGAAAAUACGUUGUUUCUAUUGAUGUGAAUAUUCUACUAUCACAGAUAUGGAUAUCAACUAAUUUGGUUUUCGUUAUGUCAAUGGUCUUGAGGACUUUAUAAAUAAAGAAAUGGCAAACUGUUAUAAUAGUUUAUUCAAACGAAAUACGUCAAUAUUAUUUCCUAGUGAGAAAUGAUUGGGUGACUGGCAUACAUACUAAUUCAUACACUAUUAAAAUAAGAUUUUGCCUAAGUUAAUCUCAAGAUAUGGGUCCAAAAAAAUCUUUUUUUUCUUGGAGUAUCUAUCAGUUAUGUGGUUGUUGUAUUUUUGUUGUUGUUGUUUUGGUGCGGUUGUUGUGGUUGUUUUUGGUUGGUUGAUAUUUUAAUAAUUUAUGAUUUUACUUCUGUUUAAAAUAGAAAUUAAGCUUUGAAAGGCUUUGGAUAUAUAUAUAUAUAUAUUACAUAAUUGCUUUUUCAUUUUUUUUUUAGUAUAUUGUUUUAUUGUUUAAAAGAAUACAAUGUAACUGAAAAGGCCCAAAAUAACUAAUAAACUUACCCUACUUGUUACUU